AGAGGGCGUAGCUCAAUUGGAUGAGAGCAAGAAUCUUCUAAAUUCUAGGUUGGUGAGUUCGAAUCUCCCCGUCCUCUU
rnacentral:tRNA from 1 species